CCGGCGCACGGGUGAGUAACGCGUAUGCAACUUACCUAUCAGAGGGGGAUAACCCGGCGAAAGUCGGACUAAUACCGCAUGAAGCAGAGGCCCCGCAUGGGGAUAUUUGCUAAAGAUUCAUCGCUGAUAGAUAGGCAUGCGUUCCAUUAGGCAGUUGGCGGGGUAACGGCCCACCAAACCGACGAUGGAUAGGGGUUCUGAGAGGAAGGUCCCCCACAUUGGUACUGAGACACGGACCAA
rnacentral:rRNA from 1 species